AAAUAAGAAGUAAAAUUUUACAUUUAGUUUCGACCUAAAAUUUUGGUUCUAAACCCUUAUUUA
rnacentral:tRNA from 1 species